UGAAAGCGAUGAAGCGUGAGGUUGCCGUCUUUAUAUAUUUGCCGUAUGAGACGGGUUUUCCGCGGAGCAAAUGUCAUGUUCACGAAACUGGCGACAA
rnacentral:ncRNA from 1 species